CAUUCUGAUUCAGAGCUCUCUUCCUACAGGUCUACAAAGGACAGAAUGAUAUCUGCACCCCAGCUUCUCUGCCUCCUGGUGCUCUGGGCUCAGGAGUCCAGUGCAGCCAUUGUGCUGACCCAGUCUCCAGCCUCCCUUCCUAUGACUGUGGGAGAGAGAGUCACCAUCAACUGCAGAGCCAGUAAGGACAUUGGUAAUUGGUUAACCUGGUACCAGCAGCCACCAGGAAAAGCUCCCAAGCCUCUUAUCUAUGCUGCUACCUACCUAGUGCCUGGGGUCCCUGCCCGCUUCAGUGGCAGUGGAUCUGGGACAGAUUUUACUCUCACAAUCAGCAGUGUGGAAGCUGAAGAUAUCGGACAUUACCACUGUCAGCAUUAUUAUGAGUACCCUAACCCACAGUGGUGCAGGCCUGAACAAGAACCUCCCCAGGCUGUUGAGCUCUUUAGCUCAGGAGACCAGCUGCUUCCUCCAGAGCCCCUGAGUCAGAGACACCACAGAGCCCUGGGGAGGGCUGGGUCUAAUAGCCCAGCUGUGGGGGCCACAGAUCCCAGUCUCUCACAUCCUAGAAAAGUCUAG